rnacentral:sRNA from 1 species
GCUGGGUGAGGUGGUGCAUGCCUGUAAUCCCAGCAGCUUGGGAGGCUGAGAUGGGAAGAUAACGAAUUCAAAGCCAGCCUCAGCAACUGCAAGGCAUUAAGCAACUCAGUGAGACCCUGUCUCUA